CAUAACCCCCUGGAAACUGGGUAUAAUACCCGAUAGGUCUCGAUUGCUGGAAUGCAUCGAGAUUUAAAGCCCCGGCGCCUAAGGAUGGGUCUGCGGCCUAUCAGGUAGUAGUGGGUGUAGCGUACCUACUAGCCUACGACGGGUACGGGUUGUGAGAGCAAGAGCCCGGAGAUGGAUUCUGAGACACGAAUCCAGGCCCUACGGGGUGCAGCAGGCGCGAAAACUUUACAAUGCUGGCAACAGCGAUAAGGGAACCUCGAGUGCCAGGUUACAAAUCUGGCUGUCGAGAUGCCUAAAAAGCAUUUCAUAGCAAGGGCCGGGCAAGACCGGUGCCAGCCGCCGCGGUAACACCGGCGGCUCGAGUGGUAACCGUUAUUAUUGGGUCUAAAGGGUCUGUAGCCGGCCGGAUAAGUCUCUUGAGAAAUCUGGCAGCUUAACUGUCAGGCUUUCAGGAGAUACUGUCUGGCUCGAGGCCGGGAGAGGUGAGAGGUACUUCAGGGGUAGGGGUGAAAUCUUGUAAUCCUUGAAGGACCACCAGUGGCGAAGGCGUCUCACCAGAACGGACCUGACGGCAAGGGACGAAAGCUAGGGGCACGAACCGGAUUAGAUACCCGGGUAGUCCUAGCCGUAAACGAUACUCGCUAGGUGUCGGCCACGGUGCGACCGUUGUCGGUGCCGUAGGGAAGCCGUGAAGCGAGCCACCUGGGAAGUACGGCCGCAAGGCUGAAACUUAAAGGAAUUGUCGGGGGGAGCACCACAACGGGUGGAGCUUGCGGUUUAUUUGGAUUCAACGCCGGAAAUCUUACCGGACCGACAGCAAUAUGAAGGCGAGGGCUGAAGACUUUGCCGGAUUAGCUGAGAGUAGUGCAU
rnacentral:rRNA from 1 species